rnacentral:misc_RNA from 1 species
GAUGUAGAACGCAGCGAAAUGCGAUAAGUAAUGUGAAUUGCAGAAUUCAGUGAAUCAUCGAAUCUUUGAACGCACAUUGCGCCCGCCAGUAUUCUGGCGGGCAUGCCUGUUCGAGCGUCAUUACAACCCUCAGGCCCCCGGGCCUGGCGUUGGGGAUCGGCGGAGCCCCCCGUGGGCACACGCCGUCCCCCAAAUGCAGUGGCGGUCCCGCCGCAGCUUCCAUCGCGUAGUAGCUAACACCUCGCGACUGGAGAGCGGCGCGGCCACGCCGUAAAACACCCAACUCUUCUGAAGUUGACCUCGAAUCAGGUAGGAAUACCCGCUGAACUUAAGCAUAUCAAUAAGCGGAGGA